rnacentral:rRNA from 1 species
UACGAAGGGGGCUAGCGUUGUUCGGAUUUACUGGGCGUAAAGCGCACGUAGGCGGAUCGAUCAGUCAGGGGUGAAAUCCCAGAGCUCAACUCUGGAACUGCCUUUGAUACUGCGUGGCUUGAGUAUCGGAGAGGUUGGUGGAAUUCUCGGUGUAGAGGUGAAAUUCGUAGAUAUCGAGAGGAACACCGGUGGCGAAGGCGGCCAACUGGACGAAUACUGACGCUGAGACACGAAAGCGUGGGGAGCAAACAGG